rnacentral:lncRNA from 1 species
AUGCUGCUUGGGGCCAGACUGUGUUGCUGCUCCAUGCUCUGGCCAAUAAGAUGGGUCUGAAAUUUCAGAGGAGCUGCCGUUAUACUGUUCUGGGGGGUUGCGGUUUUUCUGGGACAACAAGUUUGACCAUGCAAUGGUGGCUUUCCUGGACUGUGUGCAGCAGUUCAAAGAAGAGGUUGAGAAAGGCGAGACACGUUUUUGUCUUCCCUACAGGAUGGAUGUGGAGAAAGGCAAGAUUGAAGACACAGGAGGCAGUGGCGGCUCCUAUUCCAUCAAAACCCAGUUUAACUCUGAGGAGCAGUGGACAAAAGCUCUCAAGUUCAUGCUGACGAAUCUUAAGUGGGGUCUUGCUUGGGUGUCCUCACAAUUUUAUAACAAAUGACUUUUUUCCUUAGGGGGAGGUUUGCCUUAAAGGCUUUUAAUUUUGUUUUGUUUGCAAACAUGUUUUAAAUUAAAUUCGGGUAAUAUUAAACAGUACAUGUUUACAAUACCAAAAAAGAAAAAAUCCACAAAAGCCACUUUAUUUUAAAAUAUCAUGUGACAGAUACUUUCCAGAGCUACAACAUGCCAUCUAUAGUUGCCAGCCCUGGUCAGUUUUGAUUCUUAACCCCAUGGACUCCUUUCCCUUUCUUCUCUGAAAAAAACUAAUUUAAAUUUGCUUUUCUUUUUUUUAACUGAGUUGAAUUGAGAUUGAUGUGUUUUCACUGGAUUUUUAUCUCUCUCAACUUCCUGCACUUAACAAUAUGAAAUAGAAACUUUUGUCUUUACUGAGAUGAGGAUAUGUUUGAGAUGCACAGUUGGAUAAUGUGGGAAAAUGACAUCUAAGCUUUACCUGGUCACCAUGUGAUGUGAUC